rnacentral:lncRNA from 1 species
CAGUGAUGUGACUGGUCUUUUGAUCUGUGGUGUGUUGGUUAUUCACAGUGAGGCUACUUAGUUUGAUUGCACGUUCCCUUGGUCCCUAGUUAUUCAGAUCUUUGUUGUGUAUAUUGGCUAUUAUAGGUUCAGAUUCAUCGUUUGGAGUAGAAUGCACCUAGAUAGGAUCUAUCGAUCUUGGUAAGAAAGGAGAAGUCCUAUGCAAUUUACAAGAC